GGAGGCUUUUGUCAGCAGAGAGGUCUUCGUCCACUUUCAUUAGAUCAAAUCUACGUGAAUCGCCAUCACAUGAUCACAUAAAAGAUGACUGAAUCCUUGAAAUCUGACUAGAUGGAGAAGGCCGAGUCCCCGCUGCCACCGUGGAUCAAAUGAAACAACAAGGGCAAUGGCAGCUAAUGUGGGGAGCUGUUUAGUACAGGGCUGCCUUUUGAAAUGAUGAUGAUAAUGGAUUCAGUCCGCUCAUUAAUGGAGUCCGAGUGCUCGUUAGAGUGAACAAACAAGCCAGCCUGUCAGCACUGGAAAUGCCAAGUGCCGGCAACUGUCUGCGUUUUAUCUGAGGACGCCACGUUCUCGCCAUUUACCCACCUACACCACCCCCCACAUCAAAGUGAACGCUGCAGCGCCAUCGCCCGUCACCCUCAGAGGCGGGUCGGGCCAUGGAGUCGCCAGGUCAAGAGGACUGAAAUCGACUCCAUACAAACAGGGUCAUACUAGGGAAUGUAGUGUACCUGAAUGUCACAGAGAUUUGGGGACGCUGUCUUUUUAUACACAGUCUGGUACGUUAACCUAGCAAGCACCCUUUUAAGCAUAUAGCAAAGAAAAUGUGUAAAUUCUUA